rnacentral:rRNA from 1 species
GAAUCUUCCGCAAUGGGCGGAAGCCUGACGGAGCGACGCCGCGUGGGGGAGGAAGGCCUUCGGGUUGUAAACCCCUGUUGUCGGGGAAGAAGGGCCGCGGAGGCGGCAUUGACGGUACCCGACGAGGAAGCCCCGGCUAACUACGUGCCAGCAGCCGCGGUAAUACGUAGGGGGCGAGCGUUGUCCGGAAUGACUGGGCGUAAAGGGCGCGUAGGCGGCCUGUUAAGUCUGCUGUGAAAGGCCACGGCUCAACCGUGGGGGUGCAGCGGAAACUGGCGGGCUUGAGUGCAGGAGAGGUGCGCGGAAUUCCCGGUGUAGCGGUGAAAUGCGUAGAGAUCGGGAGGAACACCGAUGGCGAAGGCAGCGCACUGGCCUGUAACUGACGCUGAGGCGCGAAAGCGUGGGGAGCGAACAG